rnacentral:rRNA from 1 species
UACGAAGGGGGCUAGCGUUGUUCGGAAUUACUGGGCGUAAAGCGCACGUAGGCGGUUUUCCAAGUUGGAGGUGACAUCCCUGGGCUUAACCCAGGAACUGCCCCCAAGACUGGGAGACUCGAGUCCGAGAGAGGUGAGUGGAAUUUCCAGUGUAGAGGUGAAAUGCGUAGAUAUGGGAAAGAACACCAGUGGCGAAGGCGGCCCACGGGCUCGGUACUGACGCUGAGGUGCGACAGCGUGGGGAGCAAACAGG